UGGAUUGAUCCCAGCCAGGC
rnacentral:miRNA from 1 species